rnacentral:rRNA from 1 species
AGAGGGGGCGAGCGUUGUUCGGAAUUACUGGGCGUAAAGGGCGCGUAGGCGGCCUGUUAAGUCGAACGUGAAAUCCCCGGGCUCAACCCGGGAACUGCGUCCGAGACUGAUAGGCUCGAAUCCGGGAGAGGGAUGUGGAAUUCCAGGUGUAGCGGUGAAAUGCGUAGAUAUCUGGAGGAACACCGGUGGCGAAGGCGGCAUCCUGGACCGGUAUUGACGCUGAGGCGCGAAAGCCAGGGGAGCAAACGGGAUUAGAUACCCCGGUAGUCCUGGCCCUAAACGAUGAAUGCUUGGUGUGGCGGGUAUCGAUCCCUGCCGUGCCGAAGCUAACGCAUUAAGCAUUCCGCCUGGGGAGUACGGUCGCAAGGCUGAA